rnacentral:rRNA from 1 species
AGAAAGCGUAACAGCUCACUGGUCUAAAUAAGGGUUUCUGCGCCGAAGAUGUAACGGGGCUCAAGCCACGAGCCGAAGCUUAGGGUGUGCGCAAGCACGCGGUAGCGGAGCGUUCUGUAAGCCUGCGAAGGGCGACCCGUGAGGGCGCCUGGAGGUAUCAGAAGUGCGAAUGUUGACAUGAGUAACGAUAAUGGGGGUGAAAAACCUCCACGCCGAAAGACCAAGGGUUCCUGUCCAACGUUAAUCGGGGCAGGGUGAGUCGACCCCUAAGGCGAGGCCGAAA